rnacentral:rRNA from 1 species
GACGAACGCUGGCGGCGUGCUUAACACAUGCAAGUCGAACGGAAAGGCCCUGCUUUUGUGGGGUGCUCGAGUGGCGAACGGGUGAGUAACACGUGAGUAACCUGCCCUUGACUUUGUGAUAACUUCACGAAACUGGGGCUAAUACCGGAUAGGAGCUCCUGCUGCAUGGUGGUGGUUGGAAAGUUUCGGCUGUUGGGGAUGGACUCGCGGCUUAUCAGCUUGUUGGUGGGGUAGUGGCUUACCAAGGCUUUGACGGGUAGCCGGCCUGAGAGGGUGAACGGCCACAUUGGGACUGAGAUACGGCGCAGACGGCUACGGGAGGCAGCAGUGGGGAAUAUUGCACAAUGGGCGGAAGCCUGAUGCAGCAACGCCGCGUGCGGGAUGACGGCCUUCGGGUUGUAAACCGCUUUCGCCUGUGACGAAGCGUGAGUGACGGUAAUGGGUAAAGAAGCACCGGCUAACUACGUG